UUCUCAAAAGCCAAAAGUCCUUUUAGGGGCAAAUUCCCUAUAACCCCUCCACAACAACCCUCAUCUGCCGCCAACAUCUUCAUUCAUCCUCCAACUACCCAACAAUUAAGGUUACCAGCUUUCUCUCCUCCUUUCUCUUCUGUACGUAUCUCUUAACAAUUAAAGUCACCAUGUACUUAUCUUUCCAUCUUCAUUCAUCCUCCAAUUAAUGCUUCCAUAAAAUUCUCAAUAUUUGAAACUUGGUUGGAUUUUCCUCUUCCUGAUGUUGAUGAGGAUGAUGAAGAUUUUGAACUAUCUGAUGCACAACAAGAGUAUGCUCUGACUGUCGAAAGUUUGGCACCAAGAUUGGCUGCUCUUAGGAUUGAACUUUGCCCGGGUUAUAUCAGUGAAAGUUCUUUCUGGAAGAUAUAUUUUGUACUUUUGCAUCCGAGACUUGAACCUCAUGCUGCUGCACUUCUUUCGAGACCCGAGGUAAUAGAUCCAGAAUGCGUUGGUUAAAAUUGCCUAAAAUCAAUUAGACAUACUUGUUGUUGUUGCUUGUGCUGCUGCUUGUUGCUGUUGUUGCUCGUUGCUGUCGGAGCCAUACCGGAUAUAUCCAACCCUUACAACUUCUCUUCAGGGACUAUCCGAGCAACAAGUGAGCAAACCACAAAGAGCAAACACGCUAUUUUGAAAAGGUGGAGACUAAAGGUGAAAAACUGACAAACCACAGUCAACACAACAUCUUCCACGGUUGGA
rnacentral:lncRNA from 1 species